GACGAACGCUGGCGGCGUGCUUAACACAUGCAAGUCGAACGAUGAAGCCGGAGCUUGCUCUGGUGAAUUAGUGGCGAACGGGUGAGUAACACGUGAGUAACCUGCCCUUGACUCUGGGAUAACUGCGGGAAACUGUAGCUAAUACCGGAUACGACCCUCGGAGGCAUCUCCUGGGGGUGGAAAGAAUUUCGGUCAAGGAUGGACUCGCGGCCUAUCAGCUAGUUGGUGAGGGAAAGGCUCACCAAGGCGACGACGGGUAGCCGGCCUGAGAGGGUGACCGGCCACACUGGGACUGAGACACGGCCCAGACUCCUACGGGAGGCAGCAGUGGGGAAUAUUGCACAAUGGGCGCAAGCCUGAUGCAGCAACGCCGCGUGAGGGAUGACGGCCUUCGGGUUGUAAACCUCUUUUAGCAGGGAGGAAGCGAAAGUGACGGUACCUGCAGAAAAAGCACCGGCUAACUACGUGCCAGCAGCCGCGGUAA
rnacentral:rRNA from 1 species